ensembl:snRNA U6 U6 spliceosomal RNA
AUUUGCUUCGGCAGCACAUAUACUAUAUAAUUGGAACUGUACAGUGAAGAUUGGCAUGGCCCCUGCACAAGGAUGACAGCAAAUUCAUGAAGUGUUCCAUUUAAAA